AGGGAUCAUUGCUGGAACUGUGUCCGCAAGGACACAACCCCAGAUACCCUUUGUGAACUUAUUCUUAUAUCGUUGCCUCGGCGCUGAGCUGGGGGCUUCUUUCCAAGGAGCUCUCCCAUGGUCUCUCGGGACGAUGGAGCAAGCCCGCCGGCGGCCCUUCUAAACUCUUGUUUUUAUUACGUAUCUCUUCUGAGUUAUUCAAAACAAAAUGAAUCAAAACUUUCAACAACGGAUCUCUUGGUUCUGGCAUCGAUGAAGAACGCAGCGAAAUGCGAUAAGUAAUGUGAAUUGCAGAAUUCAGUGAAUCAUCGAAUCUUUGAACGCACAUUGCGCCCGCUGGAAUUCCAGCGGGCAUGCCUGUUCGAGCGUCAUUUCACCCCUCAAGCCUUGCUUGGUGUUGGAGCACUACCGUUUGUAUAAAGCGGUAGGCUCUGAAAUUCAGUGGCGGGCUCGCUAAGACUCUGAGCGUAGUAGUUUAUCACCUCGCUUUGGAAGGAUUAGCGGUGCUCUUGCCGUAAAACCCCCCAACUUCUGAAUUUUGACCUCGGAUCAGGUAGGAAUACCCGCUGAACUUAA
rnacentral:rRNA from 1 species